GACAGAGGCCUCGAGCGUUAGGCGGAAUCACUGGGCUUAAAGCGUGUGUAGGCGGGCCCGUAAGUGUCUUGUGAAAUCCCACGGCUCAACCGUGGAACUGCUGGGCAUACUGCGGGUCUUGGGCCAACUAGGGGCAGCCGGAACAAGCGGUGGAGCGGUGAAAUGCGCAGAUAUCAGGAGGAACACCUAUUGCGAAGGCAGCUCGCUGGGACGUAACUGACGCUGAGACGCGAAAGCGUGGGGAGCAAACAGG
rnacentral:rRNA from 1 species